GAUGAACGCUGGCGGCGUGCCUAAUACAUGCAAGUCGAGCGAACAGACGAGGAGCUUGCUCCUCUGACGUUAGCGGCGGACGGGUGAGUAACACGUGGAUAACCUACCUAUAAGACUGGGAUAACUUCGGGAAACCGGAGCUAAUACCGGAUAAUAUAUUGAACCGCAUGGUUCAAUAGUGAAAGACGGUUUUGCUGUCACUUAUAGAUGGAUCCGCGCCGCAUUAGCUAGUUGGUAAGGUAACGGCUUACCAAGGCGACGAUGCGUAGCCGACCUGAGAGGGUGAUCGGCCACACUGGAACUGAGACACGGUCCAGACUCCUACGGGAGGCAGCAGUAGGGAAUCUUCCGCAAUGGGCGAAAGCCUGACGGAGCAACGCCGCGUGAGUGAUGAAGGUCUUCGGAUCGUAAAACUCUGUUAUUAGGGAAGAACAAAUGUGUAAGUAACUAUGCACGUCUUGACGGUACCUAAUCAGAAAGCCACGGCUAACUACGGG
rnacentral:rRNA from 1 species